AUGGGCGCACGGUGGAUGCCUUGGCGCUAGCGGCCGAGGAAGGACGCGGCCACGCGGCGAAAUGCCCCGGGGAGGCGCUGGCAGCCGGUGAUCCGGGGAUGUCCGAAUGGGGCAACCCGCGUGGGGGCGACCCCACGCAUCCGCACCGGAGGGUGUGGAGGGGCACCCGGGGAAAUGAAACAUCUGAGUACCCGGAGGAAGAGAGAGGAUGCCCUCAGUAGCGGCGAGCGAACGGGGCGCAGCCCAAACCCAGGCGGCGGCAGAGCCUGCCGGCGGUGCCGUCUGGGGGUAGGACGGGCGCGCUGGAGGGUGCGGCAGCAUCCUCGCUGGUAGCAGAUGACCAGCCGAACACUGCUGGAACGGGUGGCCGGAGGGGGUGAGAGCCCCGUAGGCGACGGUGAUCUGGUGCUGGUGAGCGCGCUGCGUGAGUACCGCCCGACACGCGGAAUCGGGCGGGAAGCGGGGUGGACCACCAUCCAAGGCUAAAGACCGCUAGCGACCGAUAGGGGACCAGUACCGUGAGGGAACGGUGAAAAGCACCCCGGCGAGGGGAGUGAAAGAGAGCCUGAAACCGUGCGCUUCCGGCCGGUCGGAGCCUGGGGCGACCCAGGUGACGGCGUGCCUUUUGUAGAAUGAGCCGACGAGUGGUUGGGCGCAGCGAGGUUAAGGCAGGGACAGCCGGAGCCGGAGCGAACGCGAGUCCGAAAGGGCGGAGCAGUUGCGUCCAAGCGACCCGAAACCGGGUGAGCUACCCGUGGGCAGGGUGAAGCGGGCGGAACACGCGCGUGGAGGCCCGAACCCGAGUCUGUUGCAAAAGGCUGGGAUGACCUGCGGGUAGGGGUGAAAUGCCAAGCGAACCCGGAGAUAGCUGGUUCUCCCCGAAAGGCAUUGAGGUGCCGCCUCUGGGGGAGCCCGGCGGAGGUAGCGUGCUGGAUCGGCGAGGGGGCGACCAGCUUACCGACCCGAACCAAACGUCGAAUGCCGUUGGGUGGGUCCCAGGGAGUGAGACGGCGGGUGCGAAGAUUCGUCGUCGAGAGGGGAACAGCCCAGACCGCCGGCUAAGGUCCCGAAGUCCGGACUGAGUGGGCAAGGAGGUCGCGGUGCCGAGACAACCAGGAGGUUGGCUUAGAAGCAGCCAUCCUUGAAAGAGUGCGUAAUAGCUCACUGGUCGAGUGCCGUGGCGCCGACAAUCCACCGGGGCUAAGUCCGGCGCCGAAGCCGCGGCUGUUGCGAGACAGGGUAGGGGAGCGUCCCAUUCAGCGGGGAAGCCGAGGCGGGAGCCGAGGUGGAGCGGAUGGGAGUGCGAAUGUCGGCACGAGUAGCGCGAGGGGGGUGCGAAUCCCCCCCACCGGAAGCCCGAGGGUUCCGCAGCCAGGCUGAUCCACUGCGGGUGAGGCGGGCCUAAGCCGAGGCCGAGAGGCGUAGGUGAUGGACAACGGGUUACUAGUCCCGUCCCGACCGUGGCCGUGAUGAGCGAAGGGGGGACGCCGGGGGGUAGGUCCGGGGGUGCGAGCCCUCCAAGCCGGUAGGGAGCCCUGGUAGGCAAAUCCGCUGGGGUGGUGACCGAGAGGUGAUGGGAAGGCGCGGGGGCGACCCCAAGCCGCACGGAUUGAGCCCGGACGGCCGAGAAAAGCCUCUAGCCAGGCGCACGGUUGACCGUACCGCAGACCGACACAGGUGGGCUGGUAGAGCAUACCGAGGUGGACGGGAGAACCCUCGUCAAGGAACUCGGCAACUUGGCCCCGUAACUUCGGGAGAAGGGGCGCCCCGGUAGCGUGAAGCCCCUGGCGGGUGGAGCGUGAGGGGGCCGCAGAGAGCAGGCCCAGGCGACUGUUUACCAAAAACACCGGUCCCUGCCAACGCGCGUCAGUGCGGACGUAUAGGGGCUGAGACCUGCCCAGUGCCGGAAGGUUAAGGGGAGGGCUGGCCAGGCCUGAACCGAAGCCCCGGUAAACGGCGGCCGUAACUAUAACGGUCCUAAGGUAGCGAAAUUCCUUGUCGGGUAAGUUCCGACCCGCACGAAAGGUAGAACGAUCUGGGCGCUGUCUCGACGAGGGACCCGGCGAAACUGCAGGACCGGUGAAGAUACCGGUGACUCGCGGCAGGACAAAAAGACCCCGUGGAGCUUUACUCCAGCUUGUCGCUGGGCGCGGGUGCGACCUGUGGAGGAUAGGUGGGAGCCGGAGAAGCGGGGGCGCUAGCCCUCGUGGAGGCGACGGUGAAAUACCACCCUGGUGGUGCUUGCGUCCUCACCCGACCGGCGGCAGCGCCGGGGGGGACCGCGGCUGGCGGGGAGUUUGACUGGGGCGGUCGCCUCCUAAAGGGUAACGGAGGCGCCCAAAGGUCCCCUCAGGCCGGAUGGCAAUCGGCCGGAGCGCGUAAGGGCAGCAAGGGGGCUUGACUGCGAGGCGGACGUGCCGAGCAGGGACGAAAGUCGGGCCUAGUGAUCCCACGGUGCCUGGUGGACGGGCCGUGGCUUAACGGAUAAAAGCUACCCCGGGGAUAACAGGCUGAUCCCGCCCAAGAGUCCACAUCGACGGCGGGGUUUGGCACCUCGAUGUCGGCUCGUCGCAUCCUGGGGCUGGAGAAGGUCCCAAGGGUUGGGCUGUUCGCCCAUGAAAGCGGUACGCGAGCUGGGUUCAGAACGUCGUGAGACAGUUCGGUCUCUAUCCGUCGCGAGUGGCUGGGGGAGUGCGGGGGGCUGGCCCUAGUACGAGAGGACCGGGCUGGACGGACCGCUGGUGUGCCGGUUGUGUGGCAACGCGCAGUGCCGGGUAGCUAUGUCCGGACGGGUGAACCGCUGAAAGCAUCUAAGUGGGAACCCCUCCCCAAAACGACUCCCCCCACCCUGAUGAAGGGGAAAGGCCCCACCGAGACGAGGUGGUUGCGAGGCGGCAGGUGGACGGCGGGCAACCGACCGGAGCCGAGCCGUGCUCAU
rnacentral:rRNA from 1 species